rnacentral:rRNA from 1 species
UGGGGAAUUUUGGACAAUGGGCGAAAGCCUGAUCCAGCAAUGCCGCGUGUGUGAAGAAGGCCUUCGGGUUGUAAAGCACUUUUGUCCGGAAAGAAAUCCUUGGCUCUAAUACAGUCGGGGGAUGACGGUACCGGAAGAAUAAGCACCGGCUAACUACGUGCCAGCAGCCGCGGUAAUACGUAGGGUGCAAGCGUUAAUCGGAAUUACUGGGCGUAAAGCGUGCGCAGGCGGUUUGCUAAGACCGAUGUGAAAUCCCCGGGCUCAACCUGGGAACUGCAUUGGUGACUGGCAGGCUAGAGUAUGGCAGAGGGGGGUAGAAUUCCACGUNUGAGCAGUGAAAUGCGUAGAGAUGUGGAGGAAUACCGAUGGCGAAGGCAGCCCCCUGGGCAAUACUGACGCUCAUGCACGAAAGCGUGGGGAGCAAACAGGAUUAGAUACCCUGGUAGUCCACGCCCUAAACGAUGUCAACUAGUUGUUGGGGAUUCAUUUCCUUAGUAACGUAGCUAACGCGUGAAGUUGACCGCCUGGGGAGUACGGUCGCAAGAUUAAAACUCAAAUGAAUUGACGGGGUCAUAGCUGUUUCCU